rnacentral:rRNA from 1 species
GACGAACGCUGGCGGCGUGCCUAAUACAUGCAAGUAGAACGCUGAAGGAGGAGCUUGCUUCUCUGGAUGAGUUGCGAACGGGUGAGUAACGCGUAGGUAACCUGCCUGGUAGCGGGGGAUAACUAUUGGAAACGAUAGCUAAUACCGCAUAAUAUUGACUAUUGCAUGAUAGUCAGUUGAAAGGUGCAACUGCACCACUACCAGAUGGACCUGCGUUGUAUUAGCUAGUUGGUGGGGUAACGGCUCACCAAGGCGACGAUACAUAGCCGACCUGAGAGGGUGAUCGGCCACACUGGGACUGAGACACGGCCCAGACUCCUACGGGAGGCAGCAGUAGGGAAUCUUCGGCAAUGGACGGAAGUCUGACCGAGCAACGCCGCGUGAGUGAAGAAGGUUUUCGGAUCGUAAAGCUCUGCUGUAAGAGAAGAACGAGUGUGAGAGUGGAAAGCUCACACUGUGACGGUAUCUUACCAGAAAGGGACGGCUAACUACGUG